UAUCAAAAGGAUUAAUGUUUUUUAGUUACAUAGAUUAAAAACCAAAAUAUAAAAAAGAUGAUCAAACACCAUAAUGAACUAUUGUUAUAUAUAAAUAAUCCUGAGUCAAGAUGAAACAUUUCCUUACAUUUUUCCACCUAUCUCUAGAGUCUACUAUAGUUAUUCGCUAAUUUUUUUCUAUAUUUCAACCAAUAAAUAAUAAGCAUCA
rnacentral:lncRNA from 1 species